rnacentral:lncRNA from 1 species
AAUGCAGUUAUGUGGUCUCCGUCCGGUUUGGUUCAUGACAAAGUCGAAGCAAAGCUUGGGGUGAGCAAGAGUCGGGGCGGUCCACGACCCGAUGCCCUAGUAAUUCAGAGAACUUUGAUCUCAUAGUUUUGUGAUGUUUGACUUUUGGAGUCAAUUCAAUGUACAAACAGCUUUCCAUGCGACUCAUCCUCAUAUGGUCGGCUUCGGGUUUGAGCCAACAUUUGCCAACCCUCCCUAGUCACAACAGGUGAAAGUCAUUCACUAAUGUUGACUGAGGAAAGUACAGAAGU